rnacentral:rRNA from 1 species
UACGUAGGGUGCUAGCGUUAAUCGGAAUUACUGGGCGUAAAGGGUGCGCAGGCGGUCCUGUAAGUCAGAUGUGAAAUCCCCGGGCUUAACCUGGGAAUUGCGUUUGAAACUACAGAGCUAGAGUGUAAAAGAGGGAGGUGGAAUUCCAUGUGUAGCAGUGAAAUGCGUAGAGAUAUGGAAGAACAUCGAUGGCGAAGGCAGCCUCCUGGUUUAACACUGACGCUCAUGCACGAAAGCGUGGGGAGCAAAC